rnacentral:rRNA from 1 species
GACGAACGCUGGCGGCGUGCCUAAUACAUGCAAGUCGAGCGGACGAAUCGAAAGCUUGCUUUUGAUUCGUUAGCGGCGGACGGGUGAGUAACACGUGGGCAACCUGCCCUGUAGACGGGGAUAACACCGAGAAAUCGGUGCUAAUACCGGAUAACACGAAAUGUCGCAUGACGUUUCGUUGAAAGACGGCGCAAGCUGUCGCUACAGGAUGGGCCCGCGGCGCAUUAGCUAGUUGGUGAGGUAACGGCUCACCAAGGCGACGAUGCGUAGCCGACCUGAGAGGGUGGUCGGCCACACUGGGACUGAGACACGGCCAAGACGCCUACGGGAGGCAGCAGUAGGGAAUCUUCCGCAAUGGACGAAAGUCUGACGGAGCAACGCCGCGUGAGCGAAGAAGGCCUUCGGGUCGUAAAGCUCUGUUGUUAGGGAAGAACAAGUAACGCAGUAACUGGCGUUACCGUGACGGUACCUAACGAGAAAGCCACGGCUAACUUCGUGCCAGCCGCCGCAGUAA